rnacentral:rRNA from 1 species
GACGAACGCUGGCGGCACGCCUAACACAUGCAAGUCGAACGGACUUACAAGAGCUUGCUUUUUUAAGUUAGUGGCGGACGGGUGAGUAACACGUGAGCAACCUGCCUCUGAGAGGGGGAUAGCUUCUGGAAACGGAUGGUAAUACCCCAUAAAAUAUUAAUAUCGCAUGAUAGAUAUAUCAAAGAAAUUCGCUCAGAGAUGGGCUCGCGUCUGAUUAGAUAGUUGGUGAGGUAACGGCUCACCAAGUCGACGAUCAGUAGCCGGACUGAGAGGUUGAACGGCCACAUUGGGACUGAGACACGGCCCAGACUCCUACGGGAGGCAGCAGUGGGGAAUAUUGCACAAUGGAGGGAACUCUGAUGCAGCGAUGCCGCGUGGAGGAAGAAGGUUUUCGGAUUGUAAACUCCUUUUAUCAGGGACGAUAAUGACGGUACCUGAAGAAAAAGCUCCGGCUAACUACGUG